rnacentral:rRNA from 1 species
GACGAACGCUGGCGGCAUGCCUAAUACAUGCAAGUCGAGCGAACGGAUGAAGUGCUUGCACUUCUGACGUUAGCGGCGAACGGGUGAGUAACACGUAAGGAAUCUACCUAUAAGCGGGGGAUAACAUUCGGAAACGGGUGCUAAUACCGCAUAAUAUCUUCUCCCGAAUGGAAGAAGAUUGAAAGAUGGCUCUGCUGUCACUUAAAGAUAAACUUGCGGUGCAUUAGUUAGUUGGUGGGGUAACGGCCUACCAAGACGAUGAUGCAUAGCCGACCUGAGAGGGUGAUCGGCCACAUUGGGACUGAGACACGGCCCAAACUCCUACGGGAGGCAGCAGUAGGGAAUCUUCCGCAAUGGGCGAAAGCCUGACGGAGCAAUGCCGCGUGAGUGAAGAAGGCCUUCGGGUCGUAAAACUCUGUUAUAAGAGAAGAACAAAUUGUAGAGUAACUGCUACAGUCUUGACGGUAUCUUAUCAGAAAGCCACGGCUAACUACGUGCCAGCAGCCGCCGUAA